ACUCCUACGGGAGGCAGCAGUGGGGAAUAUUGCACAAUGGGCGCAAGCCUGAUGCAGCCAUGCCGCGUGUAUGAAGAAGGCCUUCGGGUUGUAAAGUACUUUCAGCAGUGAGGAAGGUGGUAUGUUAAUAGCAUACUUCAUUUGACGUUAGCUGCAGAAGAAGCACCGGCUAACUCCGUGCCAGCAGCCGCGGUAAUACGGAGGGUGCGAGCGUUAAUCGGAAUUACUGGGCGUAAAGCGCAUGCAGGUGGUUUGUUAAGUCAGAUGUGAAAGCCCGGGGCUCAACCUCGGAAUUGCAUUUGAAACUGGCAAACUAGAGUACUGUAGAGGGGGGUAGAAUUUGCAGGUGUAGCGGUGAAAUGCGUAGAGAUCUGAAGGAAAUACCGGUGGCGAAGGCGGCCCCCUGGCACAGAUACUGACACUCAGAUGCG
rnacentral:rRNA from 1 species